CCUCCUGUGAUGAUGUGACUUGAUGACUUUCGUUCUCCUGAGCUUGCUGAAGCCACGCGUUUCAAUCUGAGGAGG
ensembl:snoRNA small nucleolar RNA, C/D box 59A